UACAGAGGGUGCGAGCGUUAAUCGGAAUUACUGGGCGUAAAGGGCGCGUAGGCGGUUGUGUGAGUGUGAUGUGAAAGCCCUGGGCUUAACCUGGGAAGUGCAUCGCAAACGACAUAACUGGAGUAUAAGAGAGGGUGGCGGAAUUUCCGGUGUAGCGGUGAAAUGCGUAGAGAUCGGAAGGAACGUCAAUGGCGAAGGCAGCCACCUGGCUUAAUACUGACGCUGAGGCGCGAAAGCGUGGGUAGCGAACAGGAUUAGAUACCCUGGUAGUCCACGCUGUAAACGAUGAGAACUAGAUGUUGGUAGGGGAACCUAUCAGUAUCGAAGCUAACGCGAUAAGUUCUCCGCCUGGGAAGUACGGCCGCAAGGUUGAA
rnacentral:rRNA from 1 species